rnacentral:rRNA from 1 species
GAUGAACGCUGGCGGCGUGCCUAAUACAUGCAAGUCGAGCGAACAGACGAGGAGCUUGCUCCUCUGACGUUAGCGGCGGACGGGUGAGUAACACGUGGAUAACCUACCUAUAAGACUGGGAUAACUUCGGGAAACCGGAGCUAAUACCGGAUAAUAUAUUGAACCGCAUGGUUCAAUAGUGAAAGACGGUUUUGCUGUCACUUAUAGAUGGAUCCGCGCCGCAUUAGCUAGUUGGUAAGGUAACGGCUUACCAAGGCGACGAUGCGUAGCCGACCUGAGAGGGUGAUCGGCCACACUGGAACUGAGACACGGUCCAGACUACUACGGGAGGCACCAGUAGGGAAUCUUCCGCAAUGGGCGAAAGCCUGACGGAGCAACGCCGAGUGAGUGAUGAAGGUCUUCGUAUCGUAAAACUCUGUUAUCAGGGAAGAACAAAUGUGUAAGUAACUAUGCACGUCUUGACGGUACCUAAUCAGAAAGCCACGGCUAACUACGUG